rnacentral:tRNA from 8 species
GGGGAAUUAGCUCAGCUGGGAGAGCACCUGCUUUGCACGCAGGGGGUCAAGGGUUCGAUUCCCUUAUUCUCCACCA